UGUGGGAAGUUGGGUGGCGGUGGGGGUUUGGGAAGGCGGUUGGGCAGUGGAUGUUUGGGUAGGGGGCAAUGGGGUGGGUUGGGGUUUUUAUUAUUUUUAUUUUUUCUAAAGUGACUAAACAUUGCUGACGGAGUAUGGGGGUGGGGAGGAGGCUGCCGGAGAAUGGGGUUGGCUGGGGAGGGAUUGGCGGGUUGGGGUUUUUUUAAAAAAAAAAUCUUUUUUUUAUUUUUUGACUAAUUACGUGGUGACACGUGUUCAUUAAACAAAAAAAUUACCUCUUUAAUAGGUUACAGGUCACUUGGGUCCAAUAAAAGCAAAUGUCUUAUAAAUUCGGAUUAUUAAAUAAUAAUACGACUUUGGAAUUAUUAAAAGCAAAUAGCUCAAAGUUGAGAUUAUUAAAACCAAUUUUUUUUUUCUUAUAACAAUUAUGGUAAUUAUAGAAAAUAGGGGUUUUAUUUUUUAACCAUGAAUUUUAUUGGGGCACUACUACAUUUUUAAUCAAAUGCAACGGCUAAAAUAUGGCUAAUGCAACGACUACAUAGAUAGCCGUUGUAAUAGCUAGAUCUAUCGCAACGACUGCUUCAUACUUUCUCUAUAGAAGGGUCUAAUGCAACGACUAAGAGGUAACCGUUGUAAUAGGGAAAUCUAAUCAUUAAAAUAUAGGCGCGUAAAAUAAUCCCUCCUAAAUUUGCCCCAAAAUUAAAAGCCUUCACAUUUUCCUAAAAAACCCAUCCAAUAAAAGGCCCACUUAAUUUAUCUAUCCUUCAUAGUUCAUACGAGUAAUAAUCAUAAUCAACUAGCUGUUAUCUUCCUUAAAAAAAAAAAAAAAAAAUAGCUGUAAAAAGAAAUUAAAAGAAAUUAGUUCUCUUCCUCACCCAAAUUUACAAAUUCGAAAUUCGAAAAUUACGAGCAGCAUUUGAAUUAGAGGAGUGAUAAAGAAAGAGAUGUGAGAAAGUAGCUAGAAGUAUAUUCCUCAACCACCGUCAGGCGUCAGCUAGCCAGAGGAACGACAUUUUACGGUAGCAGCGAUGCCGGAGAUAAUAUACCUGCCGAGGACGGUCCAUUUUAUAUUUUCGUCCAGCGAUUUGUGUAUCCUUUGAUCCGAUGGUGUCCCUCAGUCUCUACCGGUUUUCAGCUUUUCAUAAUGUAAGUUUUCGCCCAAAAUUAAAACCCUAGAUUCAAAUUCACCUCUUUGUUUUUUUUUAUUUUAUACUGCUCAAGUGUUUAAAUUUGUUGGUGCAAUUUUACAUUUCUCUGUGUUUUUCAAUCAAAAUUUGAACACCGUAAUAGUUUCUAUGGUUUAAAUUGUCGGAGAGGAGCAAUUGGGAAGAAGAAGCAAAAAUAACUCCUUUCAGUUUUCUUAUAAUGAAAAAUGUUGUAGUUCUCAAAACUUGUGUGGUAUGACAUUAAUUCACAUAAUACUUUUUCAAUUUUCUAAUCACCUGUUGUUCUUAACACCGCUAAUAAUUAUUCUCAAUGAUUAUUCUCAAUAUAAUUAAGAUAUGAAAGUGGUAAUGCUAAACGCUUGAACAUGCUUCUAAGGUAAAUUACUUGUGUUUUUUAUUCAUUAGAUUUUUUCUAGAUUAUUGCAAUUGGUCGAUAAUUAAUUUACAAUAGAUGUUAAGUGGUGACUCUAAACCUGUUUCUCUUUUUUUCCCGGAUUUCAAACCAUUCCAGAGCUGUAUGAGUUUCUCUCAAGCCUCAACAUAACUGACCUGAUGCAUACUAAAUUAUGUAUAAAAUGUCAUGUAUUGGAUACAAAUGUAUUAGCAUAUUUAAUUGUGAGCAUUAUCUAAACCUGUCAAUAAUAAGUUUGAUUCGCUAAUUCUUAAAAACAGUCAGUCCAUUACCAUUAAUUUAGCUUAAUGUUACAUUAGAAGAAUAGUCUUCUCUCUCUCCUUUGGCUUAAUGUCAGGUUUCCACUAAUUGCUUGUGAAAGUUGUACAUUGAUUGAUAGCUCAUGGGGUGUGUUAGCCAGCGGUAUGCUCACGUUCUAAACAGCAUCAAGGUCACCCUUAUUGAUGUAUAUAUUUAUCAUUUACUUGUCAUUGCUUCUCUAAACAUUAGUUAUUUGCUUAUGAUCUCAGUAUCACCCUAAUUACCUCCCUUCGAAACACGCCAAUGAAAUUUUGUCAUCAUUUGAUAUGUGAUUGAGAGAAUAUGCAGCAAGUCACUAGACAAAGGUUAUUCAUAUAUUUCUGUCAUCAAACGCUUUACAAUGUUAUAUUGUAAAUAGGGCAACAAGUCUGCAGUUUCAUUAGUCUUUGAGAUAAAUCCUUAUGUUUAGAUAUCAUGAAGAACGUGGAUGUUCAAAAUGUCUGUGCAGAGCAAGAAAAGGUUGGAACAACUGAUUUUAUAAAUGAAAACCAAAGAGCUACUCCGUAAUAAGGGGAUUUAGAUCCAUUAGAUAUGUGUAAAUAGUGCUCUAGAGGUGGAUACUGAAACUGAAGAAGAUGCUUCCCAAAUUAUUCUCGAAUUGCUUUACUUGAGAAAUUGGAGUAGCAGAGAAAGAAAUGAUAAUGUUGCCCAAAGAAUUGCUGAAAAUAUUGUUUGGGGGACAAAAUUAUUUAGUUUUAACUUUUAAUUGUUUUUUUUCUUAGUUUAACUAGUGAUAAUUUAAUUUUGUAAAUUUCCUUAUAGAUAAUAAUGUACAAACUUUAAAUUCAUAUUAAUAAAAUCCUAAUCUUUUUUU